GAAAAACUCAAAUCUUAAUUGCAGAGGAGCCAUUUCUAGGGUUUACUCUUCAACUUCAUCGCAAGAAAUUGAAGCAACUUCCCUUCCUCUGCCUUCAAUGGUGGUCUUAAUGUUGAUAUGCUUAUGCUUCCAUUUGCAGAAUCUUGACCUUCAAUUCUAAUGACUUUUAUCACCCGUGAAUGGCUCGAUUUCACUCUUUCACUCUCUUCCAUUUCGCCAUUCUCGUAAC
rnacentral:misc_RNA from 1 species